rnacentral:lncRNA from 1 species
AUGAAAUGGUUUGUUGAUCUGUGGCCGGAUGAAAGGUAUCACGUUCAAAAAAUUUUACCCUUCUUUUGUCCUUCAUAUCUAUCACAGAAGGUCAACUUAUUGGAGAGGGAAAAUAGCUUUCCAUUUUUCAAUUAAUUUCAAACUAUUCCUAAAUGUGACUAGCUUUUUCUCGACGAUUCCAAGGAGAAAACUGCAUACAAGGAAAUAAAAAAUAACCCCUAAAGAAAACUCUGGAUUUUCUCCAUAGAAAUCUAAGAAUAUGCACAAUGUUUUCAUCACAGGAUUCCCUAGUUCAGAUACUUGUGUGAUUGACCAUACGAACGCUAGAAUUAUCGCCAUAAUAUGUCAGUUCCAUAACCAUCAUGAAUGCUCGAGGAAUUGGAAUAUCUCAAUUUUAAAGAGCCCCCUCCCCCCUUUGAUUCAUGAUCACAACGUAGCUUCUACGUAAAUUGAGAAAAUCCUGAAACAUCUUCAACUCAAACGCUGUAGAGAUUGCUCUGGCCAGCCAUAUUUCCAGGAACGUCAAAACCGUGAAAAAGCCAUUCGUGCGGAAGAUAAGCUGGUUCUACGGAAUAUAAGAACCUUCCAACGGUUCCUUUACAAAAUGAAAAACUCGCUAAUAAUUUGAGAGCAGUACGGAAACGGGAGAGCCUGAGUAUUAGACCGGAGGCUCACCGGAGGAUCAACGAGGAAUUGUAGGAUGAAAGGGCCUCUUGGUGCUCCGAGCUUCGACGAUACCACUAAGACAUGACUUCAUCCGUGAUGGAUGCCCCAUCGGACCGAGUUUCAGAGAUAUUCUUCCGCAUUCCUUCUUUCUUCGCGCGGCUGCCGACAGGAAGCACGCCUGAAGACCAUCGACACGUCAUGCGUUUUCAG